rnacentral:rRNA from 1 species
ACGUAGGCAGCAAGCGUUGUUCGGAAUUACUGGGCGUAAAGAGUGCGUAGGUGGUUGGUUAAGUUUGGUGUGAAAUCUCCCGGCUCAACUGGGAGGGUGCGCCGAAAACUGGCUGGCUAGAGUGUGGGAGAGGGAAGCGGAAUUCCUGGUGUAGCGGUGGAAUGCGUAGAUAUCAGGAGGAACACCGGUGGUGUAGACGGCUCUCUGGACUGUUACUGACGCUGAGGCACGAAAGCGUGGGGAGCAAACAG